rnacentral:rRNA from 1 species
UACGUAGGGGGCUAGCGUUGUUCGGAUUUACUGGGCGUAAAGGGCGCGUAGGCGGCGUGACAAGUCACUUGUGAAAUCUCCGGGCUUAACUCGGAACGGUCAAGUGAUACUGUCGGACUAGAGUACAGAAGGGGCAACUGGAAUUCUCGGUGUAGCGGUGAAAUGCGUAGAUAUCGAGAGGAACACCUGCGGCGAAGGCGGGUUGCUGGGCUGACACGUGACGCUGGAUGACGCGAAAGCCUAGGGGAGCGAACGGG